UCAUAUCCCGGAUACUCUAAACGUCAUGAACUAAAGCCGGAAGCUCGAUGACAGACGAUCGUGACCUGGAAGACGUCCCACUCGACGACAGCUUUGCUGCCCAUGCAUGGUCACGUGACCUACCUGGAGAUGAUGUAUUUGUGCAAAACGAAUCUCAACUUGAAGAGGACAGAUUGAAAAGAGAUGUUAUGAGAAAAGAAACUACGAAAGACGAACGCCUUUUAGACUGCACACAAGGAGUGGAUGGCAAUUUGACUGAAUCUGAUGAGAAGGCACAGCUUAUUGAUCAAAUUCUGGAGCUGCAAAGCACACUAGAAGAUCUAGCACGUCGUGUGGAAAGUGUAACUGAAGAAAAUAUGAAAUUCAAGUCUGAAAAUCAAGUACUUGCUCAGUACAUAGAGAACUUGCUGGCAUCAUCAGCAACAUUUCAACAUGCUACAAAGCAACCAAAAGAUGAAAGCUGACGUCUUGGACAUAAAACGUUGAACACCAAUUACUGCGGUUUCUUCCAAUUCAGCACAAGUAGAAAUAUGAGAAGUAUGUGUUCCACAAGUUUGUCUUGUUGUAAGGUCUGGAUUUAAAAACUACAUUAAUGGGCUUGAAGGCAAGAUUAACAGUUAUUGAGACUAUUCUGCAAUAUGUGUUAAUUAUUUCUGU